rnacentral:rRNA from 1 species
GAAUAUUGCGCAAUGGACGAAAGUCUGACGCAGCAACGCCGCGUGCAGGAUGACGGCCCUCCGGGUUGUAAACUGCUGUAGCAGGGGAAUAAUACUCGCUUAUGGCGAGUUGAAGGUACCCUGAAAGUAAGCUCCGGCUAACUACGUGCCAGCAGCCGCGGUAAUACGUAGGGAGCAAGCGUUGUCCGGAUUUACUGGGUGUAAAGGGUGCGCAGGCGGAUUAGUAAGUCAGGGGUGAAAUCUCACGGCUCAACCGUGAAAUUGCCUUUGAUACUGCUAAUCUUGAGUUCGGGAGAGGUCGAUGGAAUUCCAGGUGUAGCGGUGAAAUGCUUAGAUAUCUGGAAGAACACCAGUAGCGAAGGCGGUCGACUGGCCCGUAACUGACGCUCAGGCACGAAAGCGUGGGGAGCGAACAGGA